GAAGAACCAAAUUCCAAAAAGGGCCUGCCUCUGAAAGCCAACUCUGAUCGUCUGUGACAAGCUGCCAUCAAGAGGACAUUCACCAAGCUGCCUGGAACAUUCACAUAAUGACUGGCGCUUCAGCAGCCAUUAGGAGACAUGAGGCAACCUAGAGAUGAGCAGCCAUUCAAGGGAACUGAGAUCCAGAGUGGUAGGCUGCACACCUGAAGUCCCACUGAAAUCUCACCGUGGGUCCAUGGCAGAU